GUGAGGAAUAUUGCGCAAUGGAGGCAACUCUGACGCAGCCAUGUCGCGUGCAGGAAGAAGGCGCUACGCGUUGUAAACUGCUUUUAACCGGGAAGAAACCCCAGGACGUGUCCUGGGUUGACGGUACCGGAGGAAUAAGCACCGGCUAACUUCGUGCCAGCAGCCGCGGUAAUACGAAGGGUGCAAGCGUUAUCCGGAUUCAUUGGGUUUAAAGGGUGCGUCGGCGGAGCGUUAAGUCAGUGGUGAAAUCCUGCAGCUUAACUGUAGACUUGCCAUUGAUACUGGCGCUCUUGAGUGCGCUGGAAGUGGGCGGAAUGUGCCGGGUAGCGGUGAAAUGCUUAGAUAUGGCACAGAACACCAAUUGCGAAGGCAGCUCACUAAGGCGAUACUGACGCUGAGGCACGAAAGCGUGGGGAUCGAACAGGAUUAGAAACCCCUGUAGUCC
rnacentral:rRNA from 1 species